UACGAAGGGGGCUAGCGUUGCUCGGAAUUACUGGGCGUAAAGGGCGCGUAGGCGGCACUGUUAGUCAGGCGUGAAAGUCCUGGGCUCAACCUGGGAACUGCGCUUGAUACGGCAGAGCUAGAGGAUGGAAGAGGGUCGCGGAAUUCCCAGUGUAGAGGUGAAAUUCGUAGAUAUUGGGAAGAACACCGGUGGCGAAGGCGGCGACCCGGUCCAUUACUGACGCUGAGGCGCGACAGCGUGGGGAGCAAACAGG
rnacentral:rRNA from 1 species